AUAAAAGUUUAUAUUGAAACGUUUUCAGGGACACAAAAUAUGUGUGGAUUUAGCUUUAUUUUUUUAUACAAAAACAAAAUUAAAAAUAAAUAUUAAAUUAUUUUUAUACAAAUUAAAAUUGAAAAUAUAACAAAAUGUAUUGAUAUGAAGCAUAAAAAAAAAUUUUAAAUUUUCUGGCUAAUCUACAUAUGUAUAAUCAAUACCGCUAUAUUUCUCCAUUAUCAAAACACUUAGCUUCAAGAAUCAGAGUACACCCAUGUAUCAGUCAUUUACUUUGCACGAUAUGAAUGCGAUCGUUUUUCUUUAUGCCGCAUGCGGCGUGAAUUACGCAAUUUUACCUCGAUCUUUGAAGAUUGGCGAAGAUCUUUGAUGAUUUUUGCGAAGUAAAACACCCAAACCGAUCAUUUCGCGAUCGAUCAUUCAUGAAAUGGUAAAUUUAGGCGUUUUCCUUCGUGAACAUUCGGCGCAAUGGUGUUCUUGAAACCACAGAGAGUUACAUGGAGCAAACGACAAAUAGAAGCUUGCAAACGAAAUGGCUGGCGACACGCUAUAUACUCGCCCGAAACGAAACGUAUUACUAGAGCGUAUUAUAAGGGUGAAUGGAGAAACGAUAAGAAAGAAGGCAAAGGCAUAGGAGUCAACAGGUGUCAUGAAAAUUAUGUUGUUUGAAAUCACGGUUGGAUGUACGAAGGCGACUGGUAUAACGAUUUCAAACACGGCUACGGCGUCCUCAGUAAAAUUACGGAGGACGGCGACGUGCGCAAAGUAUAUGCCGGUGACUGGACGAAGGGAAAGAAGCACGGAUUCGGAAGUAAUUGGUACAAAGACGGUAGCUACUAUGAAGGCAUGUUUCGGGAGAACAAGAGAAAUGGUUACGGUCGGAUUUGGUACAAAUGCGGCAGUGGAUAUUACCAGGGCACAUGGCUCAAUGAUCGUUAUCACGGAGAAGGGAUGCUGAUUCAAGAAAACGGUAAUCUUUACGAGGGUCAGUUUACAAAUGGCAAGAAGGAAGGUCAGGGUGUCUUCUACCACUUGGACAGACGUCAAGUGCAGGAGGGUCGUUGGGAGAAUGACGUCUGCGUGCACAGCACGAUAGAAAACGUCGACUACCGGCAGCCAGCUUUAUAUCCGAUAUUACAUAUUCCAAAGAUAAAUGGCCGAAUAACGAUACACUUAUAAACAUAUUGCGUCAUGCGUCUCGUUUACGUCUCUUCUUAGAUCGAUUUAGACAUACAUGUUUCACAUUUUAUCGGCUUUUCUCGCGUUCUCGCGGCCAACAGAAAAUAUAAUGCGUACAUGUAAUUUUGUACGUACGACUUUUUAUUUUCGGCAAUCGCUCCCGCCAGCGCAUUUCACGCGCCAAACAAUAUAUACAAAUAAUAUAAUCGGACAUAUACGUUCCCAAGUUUCAUCUACGAUCGUUGAAAUGUAAUAUUUCACGCGAUGCGAUAUAUGUUUGAAACGCGGCUCCUGAUAUAUUUCGUUUCUUAUUUAUAAUUUUUACGGAAGUACUUGAGAGUAAUGUACUUGCGCGUUGAAGAACGAUAAGGGAAAUUGUUGUUAUCGCAAAU